rnacentral:rRNA from 1 species
GCGUGAGUGAAGAAGGCCCUAGGGUUGUAAAGCUCUUUCGGGUGGGACGAUAAUGACGGUACCACCAUAAGAAGCCCCGGCUAACUCCGUGCCAGCAGCCGCGGUAAUACGGAGGGGGCUAGCGUUGUUCGGAAUUACUGGGCGUAAAGCGCGCGUAGGCGGUAAUCCAAGUUAGGGGUGAAAUCCCAGGGCUUAACCCUGGAACUGCCUUUAAGACUGGAUUACUUGAGUACGGGAGAGGUAAGUGGAAUUCCGAGUGUAGAGGUGAAAUUCGU